UACAGAGGUCUCAAGCGUUUGUUCGGAUUCAUUGGGCGUAAAGGGUGCGUAGGCGGCGCGGUAAGUCGGGUGUGAAAUCUUGGAGCUUAACUCCGAAACUGCAUUCGAUACUGCCGUGCUUGAGGACUGGAGAGGAGACUGGAAUUCAUGGUGUAGCAGUGAAAUGCGUAGAGAUCAUGAGGAAGACCAGUGGCGAAGGCGGGUCUCUGGACAGUUCCUGACACUGAGGCACGAAGGCCAGGGGGGGCAAACGGG
rnacentral:rRNA from 1 species